rnacentral:rRNA from 1 species
UAGGGAAUAUUGGACAAUGGGGGCAACCCUGAUCCAGCCAUGCCGCGUGAGUGAAGAAGGCCCUCGGGUUGUAAAGCUCUUUUGUCCGGAAAGAAAAGCAUUCGGUGAAUACCCGGAUGUUCUGACGGUACCGGAAGAAUAAGCACUGGCUAACUUCGUGCCAGCAGCCGCGGUAAUACGAAGGGUGCAAGCGUUACUCGGCAUUACUGGGCGUAAAGCGCGCGUAGGUGGUUGUUUAAGACUGAUGUGAAAGCCCUGGGCUCAACCUGGGAAUGGCAUUGGAAACUGGGCAGCUAGAGUGCGGUAGAGGGUAGUGGAAUUCCCGGUGUAGCAGUGAAAUGCGUAGAGAUCGGGAGGAACACCUGUGGCGAAGGCGACUGCCUGGACCAGCACUGACACUGAGGCACGAAAGCGUGGGGAGCAAACA